rnacentral:rRNA from 1 species
UACGUAGGGGGCAAGCGUUGUCCGGAUUUAUUGGGCGUAAAGCGCGUGUAGGCGGCCACACAGGUCCGCUGUGAAAACUCCAGGCUCAACCUCGAGCUGUCGGUGGAAACCGUGUGGCUAGAGUCCGGAAGAGGAGACUGGAAUUCCCGGUGUAGCGGUGGAAUGCGCAGAGAUCGGGAGGAACACCCGUAGCGAAGGCGGUUCUCUGGGCCGGUACUGACGCUGAGGAGCGAAAGCGUGGGGAGCAAACAGG